UUUCUACUUAAGACAUCCACAUGCCAGCUAACGUAAAGAUUGCCAUUGAUUCACAAAGGGAUAAACAUCUUAUUCAAUACCGGAGGCUGCUUGCAGAUCUAUUCUUAAUCAAAUCCCUUGUAACACAGGUAAUGGAGAAAUACCACUUAA